GACCAAAAUUUUUAGCACUAGUGACCAUUUAUGUUGGGUCAUUGAUUUUUCUAGACUUUAUAACAUGUGGUUUGGCUAUAGUGACCAAAACUUUUCAACUGAUUGGAGGGAAUUUUUCUCUUCAAUCCUAGAGUAGGCGGGUUGGUUUCAAAAUUAAAAACCAAAUUAUUUCACGAGCGCGGCAUUCAAUUAAAGUCUGACACAAUUUAUACCCAAAAUAUAUAUAUAUAUAUAUAUAUAAUCCCUAGUUCACCGAGAUGAAACCCUUUUAUCUUCAUCGUCCUCUUCCCUCACUCCUCAAUCUUCUCGCUAACAGAACGCUUUUGCUUCAUGGUCCAUCGCUGAGCUGCUUGUGCGGGUUGAAGAAGGGGGACGUUGUGGAGCUAACCCAGGAUAUGGGGAAAGGCUUCGAGGCUAAUCAGAUCCAACCGUUGGAAAAUUAUGCUACGGUUCUAAUUUUCACAACGGGAUCUGGAAUCAGUCCAAUCAGGUCUCUGAUUGAAUCAGGGUUUAAUGUUGAUAAGGGAUUCGACGUGAAGCUCUUUUAUGGGGCCAGAAACCUUGACAGAAUGGCUUAUCAGGUCUGUAAUAAUGUUGUUCUUGUUCAUUUUCAUGUGUUUUCUAGGGUUGUAUUUUCUUUUUCGAUUUGUGACUACUUUUGUUUGAUUGAUGUCUGCAAUGUGCCUUUCGCUUUAUUUUAAGUAUGGGUUUGUAUGCUGCAUUAAUCGCGUUCGCCAAAAGUCAAACGACUGCAAUCACAGGGCUUUUGAUUUGAAGGAUGUUAAAAAGAUGAAGAUGAAUCAUUGAGGCAAUACUCAAACCAUUGCUGCUGUCGACCUGAGUUCGCUUGAGUAUAUAUUUUUUUGCCUAUGUGUAGGUCUGCUUAAAGAAGCUUUCAGGACAAAAGGGUGAACCUCUCUGUCUUCUCAGAUAUCCUUACUUUCAAAUGUUUGCCAAUGUCUUGGAUAAUUGAAUAGGGAAUACUAAAUUGUAAUUGAGGAAAUGAAAUGCGAGCUAGUUGGACUCAUCAUUGGGGUUUCUAUAGGGGUAGUGAUUGGAGUGCUUUUGGUAAUUUCUGGACUGGUGAGAAUGGACUCAGUUGCUUGAGUUGUUACAACUUCUUCAUCUUCAACUCUGGGGUGGCUCCAUGCUUUACAAACCGUUUGGAUGUUGCAUGGUAACAAGUCAAACAACAGAUUUGAAAUUCUCAUCCUUGCAACUAAGAUGCAUGACCUAUAUGUAUGAAGGCACAAGUGGAAGAAUGGUGAAGAGGGUCGUCAUUUCAGAGGUAGAUAUAUCAAAGCACAUCAAUUACAACCGUUAUAUGUGACAGAGUUGCAAAAGUUUGUCCAUCUUUCUCUUGGAUUUUGCUGUCAUGGAAGUAUUGAAAUUGUUGUAGGCUUUUAAAUUAGUUUUUAAGUGACAUGUAUUUUAAACAUGAUCAAUAAGUGAUAAUGUGGAUUGUCUUCAGCAAUACAAUGUAUUUAGUUAUUGUUCUAUUAUAUAGAAGUUUGAUUAGUAUUAA